AACGAACGCUGGCGGCAUGCCUAACACAUGCAAGUCGAACGAGGGCUUCGGCCUUAGUGGCGCACGGGUGCGUAACGCGUGGGAAUCUGCCCUUUGGUUCGGAAUAACAGCUGGAAACGGCUGCUAAUACCGGAUGAUGACGAAAGUCCAAAGAUUUAUCGCCAGAGGAUGAGCCCGCGUUGGAUUAGGUAGUUGGUGGGGUAAAGGCCUACCAAGCCGACGAUCCAUAGCUGGUCUGAGAGGAUGAUCAGCCACACUGGGACUGGGACACGGCCCAGACUCCUCCGGGAGGCAGCAGUGGGGAAUAUUGGACAAUGGGCGCAAGCCUGAUCCAGCAAUGCCGCGUGAGUGAUGAAGGCCCUAGGGUUGUAAAGCUCUUUUACCCGGGAAGAUAAUGACUGUACCGGGAGAAUAAGCCCCGGCUAACUCCGUG
rnacentral:rRNA from 1 species